UACGGGGGGGGCAAGCGUUGUUCGGAAUCACUGGGCGUAAAGGGCGUGUAGGCGGUCAGGUUAGUGAGAUGUGAAACGCCCCGGCUCACCCGGGGACCUGCAUCUCAAACUGCCUGGCUUGAGUAUGGGAGAGGAUGAGGGAAUUCCUGGUGUAGCGGUGAAAUGCGUAGAGAUCGGGAGGAACACCAGCGGCGAAGGCGGCGCUCUGGGCCGGAACUGACGCUGAGGAGCGAAAGCGUGGGUAGCAAACAGG
rnacentral:rRNA from 1 species